UAGUGAUUGAGAUAAAAAUAAACAUUAUGAUUGGCGCACCUGUUCUAAAUUUUAAUAAAAUUUUAAAAUUCCAAUACAAAGGUGGUUUCUUGCCUGGGUGGAUUUAAUUAGUUGACACAGAAUUGUUGAUGUAUAGCAUUUUUGCGUUUGAAUAUUCCAGGGAGUUGUGUAUAUAACUGGUAGAAACAGAACAGUGUGGCGCUGUUUCGGAUAUGAUUAUAAUGUUUAACGGUAAAUUGGUAUUGUCACAGAUGAUGGCUACCAAUAAGGGUGGAGUUUUUUCUUGGAUUCGCUUUGAAAUUAAACGGGAAAUUUAUGUUCUGAGGCUUUCGUAGUCGCAGUGCGAGGAUGGCGGUGUAUAGACUGGCGCUUUGUUGGGAUUUGACUUUGCUUGGCUUGGAUUUAGCAAUGUUUCUUGGCUGUAGUUUGUAUCGUCUAAACUCUCGUUUUCUCACAUUAUCUGUGUUGACUUCUGACGCGUUGGUCUGCAGUGGUAAGAAGAGUUCGUCGUCUGGGAGCAGAGCCUUGAAUUUUCGAAAGCUGUACACACACAGCCAGAUGCCAACCCAACUUACGUGAAAGAUGGAUGGCAUGUUGCAAUAUAAAUAUUUAAUGCCUUUUGUACGGCAUUGAGAUUACGUUGCAUCGACGUGAUAUAAAGAUAUAUGUAUAUAUAUAUAAAAAUUAGAUCCAAAUUAGAACUUGACGCACGUUAUUACAGCUCUUGAACAAGAAAAUAAAUUGCUAAGGCGAUAAGAGACAUUCA